AUUGAACGCUGGCGGCAUGCUUUACACAUGCAAGUCGAACGGUAACAGGGAGCUUGCUCCGCUGACGAGUGGCGAACGGGUGAGUAAUGCAUCGGAACGUACCCAGUCGUGGGGGAUAACGUAGCGAAAGUUACGCUAAUACCGCAUACGUCCUGAGGGAGAAAGCGGGGGACCGGAAAGGCCUCGCGCGAUUGGAGCGGCCGAUGUCGGAUUAGCUAGUUGGUAGGGUAAAGGACCUACCAAGGCGACGAUCCGUAGCGGGUCGUGAGAGGAUGAUCCGCCACACUGGGACUGAGACACGGCCCAGACUCCUACGGGAGGCGAGCAGU
rnacentral:rRNA from 1 species